UGCAGGGCAUGUGGGGCCACCACACACUCAGGAAGAGUCUGAGCUCGCCCUCUGGAGAUGCCCUUGGCACUCAGACGAUGCAGAGAGUUCAGAGGUUCCUGCUGGCAGGAUGAGGGCUGCAGCAGAAGCAAUUGUAUGUUGACCAACUUGGCAGAAAUCCCCAGGUAGGAGCAAGUGGCUCUGAAGCCAGGUUGCAGCCAGCCUCCAGGGGCCCAGUCACCAGAGAGGAACCUUGGCCUCAGGCCAGACUGAGAGAACACAGCCAGUCAUACCAGCCCCAGACUUGAGGAGCGGCCAGCAGCAGCAUGCCCGGGACAGGAGCAGAACAGCCAGAGUGCAGAGGACACCAGCCGGUGUGUGGCCAGGGGUGCCACAGAGAGCGUAGCGAAGCCCCUCAUUCACCUAGCCUCUGCCCCAAAUGGACAGGAGAACUCUGAAUGUCUGAGCGUGAAAUGAACGACUGAAUCACCCAAAGAAGCCAUUUGAACCAGCUCUGACGCAUGGAUGGGAACUCAUAAGAAAGAUGAAAUUAACUGUAGAGACACAAAGCUGCAUUUUCUUGGCACGUGGAAGUCUACUUGGUACAAGUGGUUUGUGGCCAAAGAAAGUGGAGACGGCUUGAUUAUGUGCCAUCACCCAAAUUCACCAGCACUCUGAGAAGCAACGAGCUAUUCAGUGAGGAUGGUACACAGCACUCAUGAGGAAACCAC